GAUCAUUUGUUUUUUCUGCUGAAGACUUGAAGACUGAACCACCAAACAGCACACUGUACACCACAACAUUGAAACCAUCAGUAGAAACCCGCAUUCCUGGCACAGCAUUGAUCGCAAUAUCUGUGUGCUCGGCACUUGCAAUCCUCUUAAUUGUAGCCGCUAUUUUCAUCUUUAAAUGUAGAAAAAAGUGUCGCUGCACUUCAGAAGAGCCCAUCUACGCAAAUAAAACAGCUUAUAAUUCAAGGAAAUAAAAGGUCAC